AAGAUCGAGGUCAUCAGAAAGUCGAUCUAAACUGGAGACUGAGCUCAUCAUAAAUCCGAUCUCAUCAGAAGAUCGAGGUCAUCAGAAAACCGAUCUGAACUAGGGGCUAAGCUCAUCAUAAAUCCGAUCUCACCAGAAGGCCAAGAUCAUCAGAAAGCCGACCUGAACUGGAGGCUCAUCAUAAAUCCGACCUCACUAGAAGGUCGAGGUCAUCAGAAAGCCGACCUGAAUUGGAAGCUAAGCUCAUUAUAAAUCUGACCUCACCAGAAAACCAAGGUCAUCAGAAAGCCAACCUGAACUGGAGG
rnacentral:lncRNA from 1 species